UACAACUUUCAGCAACGGAUCUCUUGGCUCUCGUAUCGAUGAAGAACGCAGCGAAAUGCGAUAAGUAAUGUGAAUUGCAGAAUUCAGUGAAUCAUCGAAUCUUUGAACGCACCUUGCACCCUUUGGUAUUCCGAAGGGUAUGCCUGUUUGAGUGUCAUUAAAUUCUCAAC
rnacentral:rRNA from 1 species